GGAAGCUAAACCAGUUAAACUACGCCAUUUUGCCUCUUAGUGGGCAUGCUUGAGUCCACUCACCCAACUCCUGAUAUCUUAUUCGUAAGUUGCUAAUCACCAAUUUCAGAUGUUUCUAUUUAUUGGGAGACAACCUUUCCCUGGCACUGCGACCAAUUAUUAUUUUAGAGAGACAGCUUAACAACCGCUUGACCAUCACCUGAUGGUCCCCUGACAUUCCUGGUGGGGGCAGGGGGCCUCUCCUGUUCCUGGGGCAGGCGCAGCACUCUCUUAGCUCUACCCUGUAGCCCCUGCUUCCACCAUAACAGUUCACAAAGAACUGGCAAACCCUUGAAAUUUCCAAUUUCCCUUCUUUUGCCAUUUUCUGUAGGCUGCUAUGAUUCAAGCCAGAGAAAGCUGCCGCCUCAGCCCCCACCUCCAUCGCCGCGGGGGUGAGGCCCCAGAUACCUGCCUGGCUUCUUCAGCUCUCCCCUUGGCUCCUAGCUUUGUGCUGAAUGGUCCUGCCUUCCCACAAUGCCCUUAUCUCACCAAAUCUUCACCCUGAAGCCAUGAAUUAGAGCUUCUAGCUGACUAAAUGCAGUAUCUCUCAGAAAUCUGUCAUGUGUCCUUUCUGCUUCUCGUGCCCAAUUAACUAAUUAGCAUCAUUUUACAAACUUCUCUGGGCUAGCCCUAGAGCUCAGCUCUAACACCACCCAGGUCUCCAGGUAAAGCCUGGCUAUACCUCCUAUCCUUGUUUUGUUGCUGAUAAAUAAGCUUUUUAUUGAUCUUGCAGAAAAAUUAUUUUUCUAAUUUUUUUCUCUUUUGCCUUUCUAUCUUGAGUUGUGCCAUGACAAAACACCACCAACCCCAUUUUCCAAACCUUACAUAGAGGUUCUCUUCCCCCUUCUCCCUGUGUGCCCAGCAUGGUGUGAAAACACAGCCUGAAAAUAUUCUCUCCAGCUUCUUCUGUCAGGUUCCCCACCCUUCUCCAUCAGCAUUCUUAACGCCACAGGGAUUCCUUCCAGCCCACUUUGGAGUACAGUUUCCCUCAGGCCACAACAUUUACUGUUAUUUUAUGAAUAAAACUUUAUUUUACUGGCGGUUGGUAAACUGAACGAACAAGUACUAUUUAUAAAAUAAAUACAGAACAUGAUACAACA
rnacentral:lncRNA from 1 species